GACGAACGCUGGCGGCGUGCUUAACACAUGCAAGUCGAGCGGAAAGGCUCCUUCGGGGGUACUCGAGCGGCGAACGGGUGAGUAACACGUGAGUAAUCUGCCCUUGGCUUUGGGAUAAGCCCCGGAAACGGGGUCUAAUACCGGAUACGACGCACUCUCGCAUGGGAUGUGUGUGGAAAGUUUUUUCGGCCAGGGAUGUGCUCGCGGCCUAUCAGCUUGUUGGUGGGGUAAUGGCCUACCAAGGCUUCGACGGGUAGCCGGCCUGAGAGGGUGACCGGCCACACUGGGACUGAGACACGGCCCAGACUCCUACGGGAGGCAGCAGUGGUGAAUAUUGGACAAUGGGCGGAAGCCUGAUCCAGCAACGCCGCGUGAGGGAU
rnacentral:rRNA from 1 species